rnacentral:rRNA from 1 species
GUGGGGAAUAUUGGACAAUGGGCGAAAGCCUGAUCCAGCCAUGCCGCGUGUGUGAAGAAGGUCUUCGGAUUGUAAAGCACUUUAAGUUGGGAGGAAGGGCAGUAAGUUAAUACCUUGCUGUUUUGACGUUACCGACAGAAUAAGCACCGGCUAACUUCGUGCCAGCAGCCGCGGUAAUACGAAGGGUGCAAGCGUUAAUCGGAAUUACUGGGCGUAAAGCGCGCGUAGGUGGUUUUGUAAGUUGGAGGUGAAAUCCCCGGGCUCAACCUGGGAACUACCUCCAAAACUGCAUUACUAGAGUACGGUAGAGGGUAGUGGAAUUUCCUGUGUAGCGGUGAAAUGCGUAGAUAUAGGAAGGAACACCAGUGGCGAAGGCGACUACCUGGACUGAUACUGACACUGAGGUGCGAAAGCGUGGGGAGCAAACAGGAUUAGAAACCCCAGUAGUCC